rnacentral:sRNA from 1 species
ACUUUAUUUUGCUGUUAGAGGUUUUAAGGUGAAUUUGGUGAAAGAAGUGAAGAAGGAUAGAAAUGGAAUCAGAAAAGACAUCAAAAAGUGCAAAAGGAGAAGCCGCAACUACCGCUCAGCGGUAGUUUACCGCUGAGCGGCACUCAGAAACCCACGUUGGCUCUGCUGAGGGGUGAAAAGGUCGUUGAGGGGAGGAAAACAACUCACGCACUUACCGCCAGGACUAUUUUGGGCUCUGGCCUAAUUUUCUGUAUUAUUAUGAACAGUAUAUAAGCUUUUGGUGUUUCUAGGGUUGGUAUCUUUGGCUGGGACGAAGCAAACACUCGCUUUUCCACCCCUUGAAGGAAGAUCUUGGAUGCUCAGGC